rnacentral:rRNA from 1 species
UACGUAGGGGGCAAGCGUUGUCCGGAAUUAUUGGGCGUAAAGAGCGUGUAGGCGGCCAGAUAAGUCCGCUGUGAAAUCUCGAGGCUCAACUUCGAGCUGUCGGUGGAAACUAUCUGGCUAGAGUCCGGAAGGGGAGAAUGGAAUUCCUGGUGUAGCGGUGAAAUGCGCAGAUAUCAGGAAGAACACCCGUGGCGAAGGCGGUUCGUCUGGGACGGUACUGACGCUGAGACGCGAAAGCGUGGGGAGCAACAGG